rnacentral:rRNA from 1 species
GUCAGCUCGUGUCGUGAGAUGUUGGGUUAAGUCCCGCAACGAGCGCAACCCUUGUCUUUAGUUGCCAUCAUUAAGUUGGGCACUCUAGAGAGACUGCCAGGGAUAACCUGGAGGAAGGUGGGGAUGACGUCAAAUCAUCAUGCCCCUUAUGCUUAGGGCUACACACGUGCUACAAUGGGUAGUACAGAGGGUUGCCAAGCCGUAAGGUGGAGCUAAUCCCUUAAAGCUACUCUCAGUUCGGAUUGUAGGCUGAAACUCGCCUACAUGAAGCUGGAGUUACUAGUAAUCGCAGAUCAGAAUGCUGCGGUGAAUGCGUUCCCGGGUCUUGUACACACCGCCCGUCACACCACGGGAGUUGGAGACGCCCGAAGCCGAUUAUCUAACCUUUUGGAAGAAGUCGUCGAAGGUGGAAUCAAUAACUGGGGUGAAGUCGUAACAAGGUAGCCGUAUCGGAAGGUGCGGCUGGAUC